rnacentral:rRNA from 1 species
AACGAACGCUGGCGGCAUGCCUAACACAUGCAAGUCGAACGAGACCUUCGGGCUUAGGGGCGCAGGGGUGGGUAACGAGUGGGAACCUACCCUUAGGUUCGGAAUAACUCACCGAGAGGGGUGUUAAUACAGGAUAAUGUCUUCGGACAAAAGAUUUUUGGCGUUGGGAUGGGGGCGGGUUGGAUUAGCGAGUUGGUAGGGUAAAAGCAUACCAAGGCGACGAUCCAUAGCUGGUCGGGGAGGAUGACAUUGCACACUGGGACUGAGACACGGCCCAGACUCCUACGGGAGGCAGCAGUGGGGAAUAUUGUACAAUGGGCGAAAGCCUGAUACAGCAAUGCCGCGGGAGUGAUGAAGGCCUUAGGGUUGUAAAGCUCUUUUACCCGGGACGAUAAUGACAGUACCGGGAGAAUAAGCUCCGGCUAACUCCGUG